rnacentral:other from 1 species
AGCUCCCUAGAAUGGGCGCAUACUUAAUGAUUGGUCAUUCCUUACUAGUUAAUGAGUUUCAGAUUCUUAAGUAUGAUGUUGUGUUUGCAUAUUAGUCUAGACUUUCUAGACUGAGUAACUGAGAAGUUACUCAUUUCACUUCCUGUAUAUUUUUAUAAACUGAAUUGUUUAUCUGCCACCUAACUAUUUAGGUGGCAUUUUUUU